UACUAGUAACAGAAAAGAGCAAAGCAUAUUUUAGCGAAGCAGUAUAAGCUCUUAGUGAUGUAUUCAUGAUUCAUUGCCUGGCAAUUUCAAUCUGUAUCUAGGAGCAUAUAAUACUGACUAUAAAUGCAAUUGGAAGGCAGAAGCUAAUGGUGUUAGAGGAACGAGGGGACAGUCCCAGAUACAGUGGAAUGCUUGAAGUGGAGUUGUGCCACUUUUUCUCCUUCCAUGCAUUGUGUAUGACGAAGAAGCCCCUCUGUAUCUCAAGACCUCCCUCUUCAAGGCUUGAAAAAAAUUUCUUGGAAAUAUAUCAGUGUUUAAUAGCUUUCUUCAUGUGAGUCUCUUAUACCCUUUAAGAUAAUCCACUAGCAUUGAGGUAUAUCCACCAGAACUUAGGUAAAACAGGUGGCAAUGUGGUGGUUUUUGUUUCUAAAGAGAUUGGUCCAUUUUAUCUAAGUUAUUGAAUUUAUAGUAUUAAGCUCAUUUUAGUCUUCUAAUAACUGUAGAAUCUCAAUUGAUGUCUUGCCUCUCAUUCUUGAUAUUGGUAAUUUGUACUUUCUUCUCUCUCUUUCUUUCUGCUCUCCUGAUUGGUCUGGUUAAAAAAUUAUCAAUGUUAUUGAACUUCUCAAAGAACUACUUUUGGCUUCAUUUAUUUUCUCUAGUGUUUCUCUGUUUUCUAAUUCAUCAUUUUCUACUCUGACCUUAAAGCUUUUUUAACUCUUUAUUUUAGAGUUAAUAUGUUUGUUUUCUAGUUUUUAAAGGUCAGACUGUUGGUGAUUAAUUUCAUCAUCCUUUUUUUCAUAAUAUAGGCAUUUAGUGGUAUAAAUUUUUCCCAAAUUACUACUUUAGUGGAAUUUCCAAAACUCAAACAUGUUGUGUUUUCCCUUUCAAAAAAGUUUCUCGUUACCAUUUUGAUUUCUUCUCAUGACAUGUGUUAUUUAAGAGGAUGGUAUUUAAUUUGUAAAUAAUUAUAAAUGUCCCAACUUUUCUUCAGCUAUUCAUUUCCAGUUUCAUUUUAUUGUGGUUGAAGGACAUAAUUUUUAUUAUUUCAGUCCUUCUAAAUUUACUGAGACUUGUUUUAUGACUUAAAAAUGGCUUAUCUUACAAAUAUUCUAUGUACUCUUGAAAAGAAUAUGUUUUCUCCUAUUUCAUGAAUUAUUCUAUAACUGCACAUUGGUUAAUAGUGUCAUUCAAAUCUUCUGUAUUCUAACUGAUUUUCUGUUACUUGUUCUAUGCAUUAUUGAGAGGAAAAUAUUGAAAUCUCUGACAAUAAUUGUGAGUUUGUCUGUUUCUAUUUCUAAUUCUCUGUUUUUACUUCACAUAUUUUGAGGCUAUGUUAUUAGUAGCAUGCACAUUUAGGAUUUUUAUGUACUUUUGAUUAUUUGACCCAUUUGUCAUUAUCUUGUGACCUUCUUUCUGCCAGAAAAUGUCUUUUGCACUGAAGUCUAUUUUCUGAGAUAUUAAUAUAGUCACUACAGCCUUCUUUUGAAUACCAUUAGCAUAGCAUAUAGUUUUAUAUACUUACACUUUUCACUUAUAAAUUUCUUUAUAUUUAAAGUUUGUUUCUUUUAGGCAGCAGUACAUAUGUUGGCCUUGUUUCUUUACCCAAGCUAUCUCUGACUUAUUUGUAAUGUUUAGACCAUUUACAUUUAAUGUGAUUAUUCAUGUGGCUAGAUCAAUUAUAUCAUCUUCAUAUUUGGUUUUUUAUUUGUUUUGUCUAUUCUUAAUUCCCUUUUCUUCCUUUCAUGUCUUCUUAAUUGCACAUUUCUUCUUAUUAUAUUUUAUUAACUUUGACUGCUUAUCAACCAAAACUCUGUUUUGUUAUUAUAGUGGUUGCUUUGGAGUUACACAAUAUAUCAUUAACUUAGCAGAGUCUACUUUCAAGUGAUGUUUUAUAUCACUUCAUAUAUAAAUAUUAUACUUCUAUUUUUCCUAUUGGUUUUUAUGUUAUUGUUGUCAUAUAUUGACUUCUACAUAUGUCAUUAACCUCACAAUACAGUGUUGUUACUAUUAUUUAUACAGUCAAUUAAUUUUACAAAACUUAAAUUAUCAGAAAGAAACUCUUGUGUGUUUAUACAUGCAAGGACAAUUUCUGGUCCUUACAUGCAAUGGAGAUUUCUUUUUGUAGAUCCAUGUUUCCAUCUAAUGUCAUUUUCCUUCUGCCUGAAGGACUUUAAUAUUGUUAGAAGGCUGGUCUACUGGUAAUGAAUUUUUACAACUUUUCUGUGUCUGAAAAUAUCUUCAUGUUGUCUUUGCUUUCAAAGGCUGUUUUCACUGGGUAGAGAAUUUUAAGUACAAGCAACAAAAAAAGAAUAGAUAAAUUUGACUUCAUAAAAAUAAAAACUUUUGUGCUUCAAAGUACUAUCAGAUAAGUAAGCAGACAACUCACAGAAUGAAAUAACAUAUUUAUAAAUCACAUAUCUGAGAAAGGUCUAGUGGCCAAAAUAUGUAAAGAACACUUACAACUAUGCAAUGAAAAGGCAAACAACCCAACUUAGAAAUGGAUGAAAUACAUGAAUAAACAUUUCUCCAAAGAAUGUAUACAAAUGGACAAUAAGCCCAUGAAAAGAUGCCAAACAUUAUUAGUCAUUAGAGAAACACAAAUCAAAACUACAAUGAGAUACCAAUUCUUACACAUUAAGUUGGCCAUUAUCAACAAAAUGGAAAAUAGCAAGUGUUUGCAAGGAUAUAUGGAAAAAUUGGAACCCUCAUACAUUGUUGAUAAAGUUGUAAAUGGUGAAGCUGCUGUGGAAAAUAGUUGGGCAGGUAAACAUAAAUAAAAGUUAGCCUAUUAUCUAGCAGUUCCAUUCUUAGGUAUACGUCCUAAAGAAUUUAUGUCCAAGAGAAUUGAAAGCAUUUGUCACACAAAAACCUUGUACACACAUAUUCAUAGAGUCAAACCAUAUCAAUGGUAAAGCAAGUUAUCCCACUUUGUUCAUCUUCAUCACAAAUAAGUCAGCUGGGCUUGGCCUUUGAUAUUCUCUAUUAAUUUUAGAAUUAGUCAGAUUCCAGAAAAAUACAUUUUUGGUUGAGAAUGCAUUCAAUCUAUGAAUCAAUUUGGGAGAAAUGUUCAUCUUUACAAUAUUAUUUCCUUCAAUUUAUGUGUGUAAUACAUAGUAUACUCCUCUGCUAAUUUAGGUGUUCCUUAAUGUUUUGAGUUUUCUAUGUGGCAAUCUUUUAGUACAUUUAUUCCUAUUCCUAUGUAUUUAAAAUAUUGAUAAUACUUUACAUAACAUUGUUUUUUAAAUUUUACUUCUUUUUUCUAGCUGUAUUUAGAAGUGCAAUUUAUUUUUUAGUCUGGAUAAUAUGUAGAAGUUGCUAAUUAUAACAAGUGUGUCAGUUCCAGGGAGAUUUAUAUUGAGCAUUUAUUUUCUGCAUUAUGGGUUAUGUUUUCUCCUUUCUUUGUAUGUCUGGUAAUCUUUGGUUGAUGGUCAAACAUUGUAAAUUUUAUGUAGUUAUAUACUGAAUGUUAAGUAUUUCAAUUUUCUUUGUACCUAUGUCCAAACUACCACUGAGUCUCUUCAGUUCUUUCUUUAUAUUUUCUACUAAAUCCUGCUUUUCCAUCCUGUUUCCAAAUAAUCAUCUCACUUCCUUAGCACUACUUGUUUAGGUUUCUACAAUUUCUAUUUGUUUUCUGCCCAUAUCUUUGUCUUCCAAACCACCUUAUAGAUAGUUGCUGGAACACAUGCAUGUGUAUUAUAUAUCAUGU
rnacentral:lncRNA from 10 species